ACCCAUGCAAGUCGAGCGGUAGCACAGAGAGCUUGCUCUCGGGUGACGAGCGGCGGACGGGUGAGUAAUGUCUGGGAAACUGCCUGAUGGAGGGGGAUAACUACUGGAAACGGUAGCUAAUACCGCAUAAUGUCGCAAGACCAAAGUGGGGGACCUUCGGGCCUCAUGCCAUCAGAUGUGCCCCAGAUGGGAUUAGCUAGUUAGGUGGGGUAACGGCUCACCUAGGCGACGAUCCCUAGCUGGUCUGAGAGGGAUGACCAGCCACACUGGAACUGAGACACGGUCCAGACUCCUACGGGAGGCAGCAGUGGGGAAUAUUGCACAAUGGGCGCAAGCCUGAUGCAGCCAUGCCGCGUGUGUGAAGAAGGCCUUCGGGUUGUAAAGCACUUUCAGCGGGGAGGAAGGCGGUGAGGUUAAUAACCUCAUCGAUUGACGUUACCCGCAGAAGAAGCACCGGCUAACUCCGUGCCAGCAGCCGCGGUAAUACGGAGGGUGCAAGCGUUAAUCGGAAUUACUGGGCGUAAAGCGCACGCAGGCGGUCUGUCAAGUCGGAUGUGAAAUCCCCGGGCUCAACCUGGGAACUGCAUUCGAAACUGGCAGGCUAGAGUCUUGUAGAGGGGGGUAGAAUUCCAGGUGUAGCGGUGAAAUGCGUAGAGAUCUGGAGGAAUACCGGUGGCGAAGGCGGCCCCCUGGACAAAGACUGACGCUCAGGUGCGAAAGCGUGGGGAGCAAACAGGAUUAGAUACCCUGGUAGUCCACGCCGUAAACGAUGUCGAUUUGGAGGUUGUGCCCUUGAGGCGUGGCUUCCGGAGCUAACGCGUUAAAUCGACCGCCUGGGGAGUACGGCCGCAAGGUUAAAACUCAAAUGAAUUGACGGGGGCCCGCACAAGCGGUGGAGCAUGUGGUUUAAUUCGAUGCAACGCGAAGAACCUUACCUGGUCUUGACAUCCACAGAACUUUCCAGAGAUGGAUUGGUGCCUUCGGGAACUGUGAGACAGGUGCUGCAUGGCUGUCGUCAGCUCGUGUUGUGAAAUGUUGGGUUAAGUCCCGCAACGAGCGCAACCCUUAUCCUUUGUUGCCAGCGGUUCGGCCGGGAACUCAAAGGAGACUGCCAGUGAUAAACUGGAGGAAGGUGGGGAUGACGUCAAGUCAUCAUGGCCCUUACGACCAGGGCUACACACGUGCUACAAUGGCAUAUACAAAGAGAAGCGACCUCGCGAGAGCAAGCGGACCUCAUAAAGUAUGUCGUAGUCCGGAUUGGAGUCUGCAACUCGACUCCAUGAAGUCGGAAUCGCUAGUAAUCGUAGAUCAGAAUGCUACGGUGAAUACGUUCCCGGGCCUUGUACACACCGCCCGUCACACCAUGGGAGUGGGUUGCAAAAGAAGUAGGUAGCUUAACCUUCGGGAGGGCGCUACC
rnacentral:rRNA from 1 species